CGCGAUCUCUGCUCUUAGUCUUAAUGACUCUCGGCAACGGAUAUCUCGGCUCUUGCAUCGAUGAAGAACGUAGCGAAAUGCGAUACUUGGUGUGAAUUGCAGAAUCCCGCGAACCAUCAAUUCUUUGAACGCAAGUUGCGCCCGAAGCCAUCCGGCCGAGGGCACGCCUGCCUGGGUGU
rnacentral:rRNA from 1 species